UUUUGGGUGACUCAGUGGUAGAGCAUGUGCCUAAGCAUGCACAGGCUCUGGGUUCAAGCUCAAGCACCAUAAA
rnacentral:tRNA from 1 species